rnacentral:rRNA from 1 species
GACGAACGCUGGCGGCGUGCCUAAUACAUGCAAGUCGAGCGGACGAAUCGAAAGCUUGCUUUUGAUUCGUUAGCGGCGGACGGGUGAGUAACACGUGGGCAACCUGCCCUGUAGACGGGGAUAACACCGAGAAAUCGGUUCUAAUACCGGAUAACACGAAAUGUCGCAUGACGUUUCGUUGAAAGACGGCGCAAGCUGUCGCUACAGGAUGGGCCCGCGCCGCAUUAGCUAGUUGGUGAGGUAACGGCUCACCAAGGCGACGAUGCGUAGCCGACCUGAGGGGGUGAUCGGCCACACUGGGACUGAGACACGGCCCAGACUCCUACGGGAGGCAGCAGUAAGGAAUCUUCCGCAAUGGACGAAAGUCUGACGGAGCAACGCCGCGUGAGCGAAGAAGGCCUUCGGGUCGUAAAGCUCUGUUGUUAGGGAAGAACAAGUAACGCAGUAACUGGCGUUACCGUGACGGUACCUAACGAGAAAGCCACGGCUAACUACGUG